ACUGAUUAAUGUUUAUGAAUAUAUAUAUAUAUAUACACACACAGAGCGCCAUAAGAUUGGCCGCCAGAUUUAAGCCGGAGACAGUGCAUUCAAUGCUCGUGUUAAAUAGCUUUUUCCGUAGUUGGCGUUGGAGUGGAGAAAAGUGGAAAUCACAUCGCCAUUGAUGUUUGUGUACAGACUGUAGACGUAUACAUUUAUUUUUUUUUCCCCUGUAUAUGCGCACCAAUCAGUGAAGUGGGUGCAUCCGGGAGAGGAUCUGAACCUGGACAAAAGCUCAGAUCUGAAAACCAGCUGAGCAAUUGGAAGAGAGAGGGAGAGAGAUGGGGUUGUGCGGGUCUAAGCCGAAGAGUUGCAUGGGUGAAUUUGGGAAGAAGAAUCGCCAGCCAGGGAGAAGAAGAAGAAGAGGAACGCUGAAGAAGGGCCAUCUUUCUUCGAAAGCCCUCGGCCCGGUCGAUCCGUCCACCGCCGUCGACCGUUCAUACUCCAAUCCUACAUUCCAAGCAAAUACAGAGUCAUGGUUCGACCCUGCAACGGCAAUUGAGUCCGACUGCGAUGAUGAGUACCACAGUGUUCAGGAUGCAUUUGCAGAUGUUGUAUCUCAUCGUGCCUCCGACGCCGAAUCCAUAUCAACUAUGUCAACGCCAAGAUUUUCAAGCCACAUCAAUUAUUCCAAAAAUCUAAAAACCGUUAAUCUGCAUCCAGAUGAUGCUGAUCCUCAAUUGAAAUCAGAUGGUCCUCAAGAUGAGGUGAAAACCCCUGGUUCGUUGGGUGAAAUUUCUACCCAAUGUAGGGAUGGAAGUGAAAGAGACAAGGAGACAGGAGUGUUAGACCAUUGUGGACUUCUUCCCAACGCUUGUUUACCUUGUCUUGCUUCUGCAGCUUCCUCAGAUGAAAAGAAAAAAUGUCUGAGCUGCAGCCCACCAAAUACAAGAAAAAAAGCAGCUUUAAAAUUUUCCUUUAAAUGGAAGGAUGAGCUGGCUAAUCCUACAUUAUCAUCUCCUAAGGCACUUCUGCAAAGACCAAAAGCUGGUUCCCAAGUUCCAUCUUGUCCGUUAGAAAAGAUCCUGUCCGAUUGUUGGUCCCCAGUAGAUCCUAGUACUUUCAAAGUCCGGGGACCAAACUAUUUAAGGGAUAAGAAGAAGGAUUUUGCUCCAAAGUAUGCCGCAUAUUAUCCCUUUGGUGUUGAUGUAUUCUUGUCUCCGCGUAAAAUUGACCAUGUUGCUCGAUUUGUGGAACUUCCUGCCGUUAGUUCAUAUGGAGAAUUCCCUUCAAUUCUUGUUGUUAAUCUUCAGAUACCUCUGUAUCCUGCCACAAUCUUUCAAAAUGAAUAUGAUGGAGAAGGAAUAAGUUUUGUUUUUUACUUCAAGCUAUCAGAAAAUUAUGCAAAAGAGCUUCCUCUCCAUUUUCAAGAAAAUAUCAGGAGGCUAAUUGAUGAUGAAGUAGAGAGGGUCAGAGGUUUCCCCGUUGAUACAGUUGCUCCUUUCAGAGAGAGGUUGAAGAUAUUGGGUCGAGUGGCAAACAUGGAGAAUCUUCAUUUAAGUGCAGCUGAGAGGAAGCUGAUGAAUGCUUACAAUGAAAAGCCCGUUCUCUCACGCCCUCAACAUGAAUUUUACCUGGGAGAAAACUAUUUCGAGAUUGAUUUGGAUAUGCACAGGUUCAGCUAUAUCCCUAGAAAGGGUUUCGAAGCUUUUCAGGACAGAUUGAAGCUUUGCAUUUUGGAUUUUGGACUAACAAUUCAGGGAAACAAAGCAGAAGACUUGCCAGAGAACAUCUUAUGUUGUCUAAGGUUGAAGGAAAUUGACCAUGCUAACUACCACCAGCUGGUGUUUUGAGAACUAAUCAAGAGCCUCUCAACUGUUUUGCCGCCUAAUCAAAAUAUUGCACCAGUUGUUCCCUUGGCUCUUCGAUCACCAUUUUUUGUAUCUGGAAGUUCCUCUUAAGCAUCAGGAUUCAAUUGUACAGAAAUGCUUACAUGACGACUACUCCCGGAAGAUUCUCAAUAACAAGAAGAAAUUUCUCACAUGUUUCAUGGAUUCAUUCACGAGCGGUGGUGAUUGUAUAAUUCGCACAAUUUGUGUCCUCGUGGACGAUUGAAUAAUAGAAGACUAGAUACAUUUCCAAGAGUACCUUAACCUUUGCAUCACAAACAACAGCCAUGAAUUGCUUCAGACAAAUCAACACAUGGAUCGAAAGGGAUGGGGGAGCUCAGCCCAGACAUAAUGGCUGCGAAACCAGGCUUUUGGUCCUCUCUUUCGGAUUCUGACGGCGAGGAUGGGACCGAGGGUUGCUCCUCGGAUUGAGAGAUUGGAGGUGGAGGACUGAUAAUGUGCUGGUCUUCGAAGUUAUUCUCACAAGGCUUCAUCUCUCGUAGCAGAAGCUGAUCGUCCCAAAUCCGGCCAGAAGAGCCACCACGUCUCCGGAACGAAACUGAUGAUCUCUGCAAUAUAAUAGAGGCCAUGGAUUGAUUGUUGAAACUCCAACUGCAUCUCGCUGUCUCUGCACAAGAUGGCGUCCACAAAUGACUUUGAGGAACAUGAAGCAGCUUCGGAACAGGACGCUGAUUCAUGAGCCACGUAUUCUGCAGCUUCAUUCAGCUUGCGUUCCUCUC